GGCAGUUCUUCAGUUGAUCCUGAC
rnacentral:siRNA from 1 species